rnacentral:tRNA from 1 species
GCCCUUGUAGCUCAGUUGGUAGAGCAACGGUUUUGUAAACCGAAGGUCGCGGGUUCAAGUCCUGCCAAGGGCA